GGGGGAUAUUGCACAAUGGGGGAAACCCUGAUGCAGCGACGCCGCGUGGAGGAAGAAGGUUUUCGGAUUGUAAACUCCUGUCGUUAGGGACGAUAAUGACGGUACCUAACAAGAAAGCACCGGCUAACUACGUGCCAGCAGCCGCGGUAAAACGUAGGGUGCAAGCGUUGUCCGGAAUUACUGGGUGUAAAGGGAGCGCAGGCGGGAAGACAAGUUGGAAGUGAAAACCAUGGGCUCAACCCAUGAAUUGCUUUCAAAACUGUUUUUCUUGAGUAGUGCAGAGGUAGAUGGAAUUCCCGGUGUAGCGGUGGAAUGCGUAGAUAUCGGGAGGAACACCAGUGGCGAAGGCGGUCUACUGGGCACCAACUGACGCUGAGGCUCGAAAGCAUGGGUAGCAAACAGGAUUAGAUACCCUGGUAGUCCAUGCCGUAAACGAUGAUUACUAGGUGUUGGGGGAUUGACCCCCUCAGUGCCGCAGUUAACACAAUAAGUAAUCCACCUGGGGAGUACGACCGCAAGGUUGAAACUCAAAGGAAUUGACGGGGGCCCGCACAAGCAGUGGAGUAUGUGGUUUAAUUCGAAGCAACGCGAAGAACCUUACCAGGUCUUGACAUCCGAUGCAUAGCACAGAGAUGUGUGAAAUCCUUCGGGACAUCGAGACAGGUGGUGCAUGGUUGUCGUCAGCUCGUGUCGUGAGAUGUUGGGUUAAGUCCCGCAACGAGCGCAACCCUUAUUGCCAGUUACUACGUUAAGAGGACUCUGGCGAGACUGCCGUUGACAAAACGGAGGAAGGUGGGGAUGACGUCAAAUCAUCAUGCCCUUUAUGACCUGGGCUACACACGUACUACAAUGGCGUUAAACAAAGAGAAGCAAGACCGCGAGGUGGAGCAAAACUCAAAAACAACGUCUCAGUUCAGAUUGCAGGCUGCAACUCGCCUGCAUGAAGUCGGAAUUGCUAGUAAUCGCAGAUCAGAAUGCUGCGGUGAAUACGUUCCCG
rnacentral:rRNA from 1 species